UUGGUGCUCUUGGAGAUCUUCUCUUACCUCCCUGUCCGGGACCGGAUCCGCAUCUCCAGGGUCUGUCACCGCUGGAAGAAGGUAGUGGAUGACCGGUGGCUAUGGCGACACGUCGACCUGACGCUCUACACGAUGCGGCCGAAAGUCAUGUGGCACCUCCUGCGCCAGUACAUGGCGUCCCGGCUCCACUUGUUGCGCAUGGGCGGCUACCUGUUUUCUGGCUCUCAGGCCCCACAGCUGUCCCCCGCCUUGAUGCGGGCCCUGGGUCAGAAAUGCUCCAGUCUGAAGCGCCUGUGCCUGCACGUGGCUGACCUGAGCAUGGUGCCUAUCACCAGUCUCCCUAGUACACUGAGGACCCUGGAGCUGCACAGCUGCGAAAUCUCCAUGAUCUGGUUGCAGAAAGAGCAGGACCCCACGGUGCUGCCUCUGCUGGAAUGCAUCGUGCUGGACCGAGUGCCGGCCUUCCGUGAUGAGCAUCUUCAGGGCCUUACCCGCUUCAGAGCCCUGCGCUCGCUGGUGCUGGGCGGCACCUACCGGGUCACUGAGACCGGGCUAGAUGCCAGCCUGCAGGAGCUUAGCUACCUGCAAAGGCUUGAGGUGCUGGGGUGCACCCUGUCAGCUGACAGCACCCUGCUGGCCAUCAGCCGCCACCUUCGAGAUGUGCGCAAGAUUCGGCUGACCGUUGGGGGCCUCUCAGCCCAGGGCCUGGUCUUCCUGGAGGGAAUGCCUGUCCUGGAGAGUUUGUGCUUCCAGGGUCCCCUUAUCACCCCAGAAAUGCCCACACCUGCUCAGAUUGUGUCCUCCUGCCUCACCAUGCCUAAGCUCAGAGUGCUUGAGGUGCAAGGGCUAGGCUGGGAGGGUCAGGAAGCAGAGAAAAUCCUGUGCAAGGGCCUGCCCCACUGCAUAGUUAUUGUUAGGGCUUGUCCCAAAGAAUCCAUGGAUUGGUGA